UACGGAGGGUGCGAGCGUUGUCCGGAAUCAUUGGGCGUAAAGCGCACGUAGGCGGUCUGUUAUGUCGGAUGUGAAAGCCCUCGGCUCAACUGAGGAAGUGCAUCCGAAACUGGCAGGCUAGAGUACUAAAGAGGGUCGCGGAAUUCCCGGUGUAGAGGUGAAAUUCGUAGAUAUCGGGAGGAACACCGGUGGCGAAGGCGGCGACCUGGGUAGAUACUGACGCUGAGGUGCGAAAGCGUGGGGAGCAAACAGG
rnacentral:rRNA from 1 species